AGGGCUUGACAUCCUACUGACGAAGCAGAGAUGCAUUAGGUGCCCUUCGGGGAAAGUAGAGACAGGUGGUGCAUGGUUGUCGUCAGCUCGUGUCGUGAGAUGUUGGGUUAAGUCCCGCAACGAUCGCAACCCUUAUUGUUAGUUGCUACGCAAGAGCACUCUAGCGAGACUGCCGUUGACAAAACGGAGGAAGGUGGGGACGACGUCAAAUCAUCAUGCCCCUUAUGUCCUGGGCCACACACGUACUACAAUGGUGGUUAACAGAGGGAAGCAAUACCGCGAGGUGGAGCAAAUCCCUAAAAGCCAUCCCAGUUCGGAUUGCAGGCUGAAACCCGCCUGUAUGAAGUUGGAAUCGCUAGUAAUCGCGGAUCAGCAUGCCGCGGUGAAUACGUUCCCGGGCC
rnacentral:rRNA from 1 species